CUGCUCCUCGUGCUGCUCCUUCCUAUGCUCAAUAAAUCCUCGAUUGAUCUGGCCGAAGCGACAGAUCUAUCGUGCUCAUGGUGUGACAGCUUCUGGCCAAAGCGACAGAAGUGUCGGGAAGAGUUUAUGAUACUCCCCCCCGAAUUUUGGCGACUUCUGGCCGAAGCGACAGAAGUGCCGGGAUGAGCUCGUGAUACUCCCCCCUUGAGAUCAUUAAGGCCGAAGCGUCAAAAUGACCCCUGGUCUACUAAGGCCGAAGCGACGAAGCAGACCGACUCACUAUCAGAGUCUGAUUCUGACCAAGGCUACAGAUCCACUAUCAGGAUCCGAUACUCGCCUCGGAUACAGAACCUAUUGAUUCACUAUUAGAAUCUGAUUCCGGUCGGGGCUACGAAUUCACUAUUAGAAUCCG
rnacentral:lncRNA from 1 species